rnacentral:misc_RNA from 1 species
GAUGAAGAACGCAGCGAAAUGCGAUAAGUAAUGUGAAUUGUAGAAUUCAGUGAAUCAUCGAAUCUUUGAACGCACAUUGCGCCCCUUGGUAUUCCGAGGGGCAUGCCUGUUCGAGCGUCAUUAUAACCCCUCAAGCUCAGCUUGGUGUUGGGGCCUGCUGCACUGGCAGCCCUUAAAAUCAGUGGCGGCGCCAUCUGGCUCUAAGCGUAGUAAUUCUUCUCGCUAUGGAGUCCUGGUGGAUGCUUGCCAUCAACCCCCAAUUUUUCUAUGGUUGACCUCGGAUCAGGUAGGGAUACCCGCUGAACUUAAGCAUAUCAAUAAGCGGAGGA